UAAUUCAAAAAUUCCGUCUAUAUCCUUGGUUCUUAUCUGUUUUCUUUUCCUUUCUCCUCCAUACUUUGUUACUGUGUGCUUUGCCUCUGGUUUAUUGUAAGAUUUAAUUCCUCCCCUAUUUUCAAUCUUUGGCUUGAUCUUCUUUGUUUUCCCUGGUUUAUCACCGACUCUCUCAUCACCUCUAUUUUUUCUCGCUACUUCUUCUUUCUAUCACUGUUUCGUGCACCUGAUAUUCACGUCUAAACCCUAUUUUGCUCGAAUAUGACGAUGUUUAGAGUGACUUGCCAGCUGAUCAUAAAUGUCAAUCGACCCCCUUAAGGACUAUCAGUUUUUAAUUUGUGGGCAGAAGGAACUGAAGCUUUGUGAAAUAAAAUGCAGGAGUAUAAGAAAUAGACACUUUAGCAAUGUGAAUUUGAUAUUACUUUCCUGCUAUUUCCAUUAUGAUUUUCAUUCUGGCUGGUCCGUGCUAUUCCACUUGAUGUAUUUAUGUUGCGAUAUUGCAUUGCUAGAGUUCGCAUAAUAAUUAAUAAUAAAUCAAUGAAAUGUGACCUAAGAAUCGUAAAAUGAGCUUUCGAAAGUUAUUAUGCAAGAUUUUUUUGGCCUUUUCAUUCAGAUCUCGAGAAAUAAAUGGUGAGUACACAUAGGUCUGUCUAAUAACGAGAAUCAUGUAGAUGGAUGCUUUGACUAAUGCUGCAAUCCUUGGACAUGAAGGUGAUCCAGGCACCACUCAAUUAAGUAUCUGUCAUAGUUCACAUAAAUAGGUAAGUUUAAUCACCAUGCAUAAUGCAUACUUAUUCUAUUUUUCAAUGUAGGUAGUGGAAACUCAUGAAAGUUUCUUGAAAAUAAUUUCAAACUUAAUUCCUAUUACAGAUUGCCUUAACAUGUUUAUUUUCAGAAAAAUGUAUUCUCUGUAAU